rnacentral:tRNA from 1 species
GGGUUCUUAGCUCAGUUGGUUAGAGCCCUCCGCUCAUAACGGAGUGGUCGGGCGUUCGAGUCGCCCAGAACCCACCA